UGGCGGAAUGCUUUACACAUGCAAGUCGAACGAGUACUUUUUACGAGUGGCGGACGGGUGAGUAACGCGUGGGAACCUACCUUGAGGUAAAGAAUUACUACAGGAAACUGUAGCUAAUACUUUAUGUGCCCUACGGGGGAAAAAUUUAUUGCCUUUUGAGGGGCCCGCGUCAGAUUAGCUUGUUGGUAAGGUAAUGGCUUACCAAGGCUAUGAUCUGUAGCUGGUUUGAGAGGAUGAUCAGCCACAUUGGGACUGAGACACGGCCCAGACUCCUACGGGAGGCAGCAGUGGGGAAUCUUGGACAAUGGGGGAAACCCUGAUCCAGCAAUUCCGCGUGAAUGAUGAAGGCCUUAGGGUUGUAAAGUUCUUUUAGUAAGGAAGAUGAUGACGGUACUUACAGAAAAAGCUCCGGCUAACUCCGUGCCAGCAGCCGCGGUAAUACGGAGGGGGCAAGCGUUGUCGGAAUUACUGGGCGUAAAGAGCGAGCAGGUGGUUUAUUAAGUCAAAUGUGAAAGCUCAAAGCUUAACCUUGAAAUUGCUUUUGAUACUGAUGGACUAGAGUUUGGGAGAGGAUAGUGGAAUUCUAAGUGUAGAAGUGAAAUUCGUAGAUAUUUAGAGGAACACCGAUAGCGAAGGCAACUAUCUGGCCCUUUACUGACACUCAGAAGCGAAAGCUUGGGUAGCAAACAGGAUUAGAUACCCUGGUAGUCCAUGCUGUAAACGAUGAGUGCUAGAUAUUAGAAAUUUAUUUCUAGUGUCGAAGCUAACGCGUUAAGCACUCCGCCUGGGGAGUACGGCCGCAAGGCUAAAACUCAAAUGAAUUGACGGGGACCCGCACAAGCAGUGGAGCAUGUGGUUUAAUUCGACGCUACGCGAAAAACCUUACCAGCUCUUGACAUGCUAAGUUUUGAGUUUAAGAGAUUAAAUUCUUCAGUUCGGCUGGGCUUAGUACAGGUGCUGCAUGGCUGUCGUCAGCUCGUGUCGUGAGAUGUUCGGUUAAGUCCGGCAACGAGCGCAACCCUCAUCUUCAGUUACUAACAGGUUAUGCUGAGGACUCUGGAGAAACUGCCGCUGGAAAAGUGGAGGAAGGCGAGGAUGACGUCAAGUCCUCAUGGCCCUUAUGGGCUGGGCUACACACGUGCUACAAUGGUAAUUACAAUGAGUCGCAAAGGGGCAACCUGGAGCUAAUCUCAAAAAAUUAUCUAAGUUCGGAUUGUUCUCUGCAACUCGAGAGCAUAAAGUUGGAAUUGCUAGUAAUCGUGGAUCAGCAUGCCACGGUGAAUACGUUCCCGGGUCUUGUACACACCGCCCGUCACACCAUGGGAGUUGGUUUUACCUGAAGCCGAUUUUUAAAUCGUCCACGGUAAGGUCAGCG
rnacentral:rRNA from 1 species